rnacentral:rRNA from 1 species
AUUGAACGCUGGCGGCAGGCCUAACACAUGCAAGUCGAGCGGGAACUUCGGUUCUAGCGGCGGACGGGUGAGUAAUGCGUAGGAAGCUACCCGACAGAGGGGGAUACCAGUUGGAAACGACUGUUAAUACCGCAUAAUGUCUACGGACCAAAGUGUGGGACCUUCGGGCCACAUGCUGUCGGAUGCGCCUACGUGGGAUUAGCUAGUUGGUGAGGUAAUGGCUCACCAAGGCGACGAUCCCUAGCUGGUUUGAGAGGAUGAUCAGCCACACUGGAACUGAGACACGGGCAAGACUCCUACGGGAGGCAGCAGUGGAGAAUAUUGGACAAUGGGCGAAAGCCUGAUCCAGCCAUGCCGCGUGUGUGAAGAAGGCCUUCGGGUUGUAAAGCACUUUCAGUAGGGAGGAAGAGUUGAGUGUUAAUAGUACUCAGCUUUGACGUUACCUACAGAAGAAGCACCGGCUAACUCUGUGCCAGCAGCCGCCGUAACAC